GUAGCUCCGAAUGGGCGACCUGAGCAGAACGGCGCUCUGGCUCUGUGGUCCGUGGGAUCCUUCAGGCUCCUUUUGGGUCCGGGACGGGGUUGGUGGCAGAGGUGGGGCAUGCGCGCUUGGGACUACCGAGUGCGUGCGGCUCCUCCGUGGGCGCCCGAGCAUCUCCCCGCCUUCCCCUGGGACCCGCAGUCCGCGGGUGGAGGGCUGAGACCCGGCGACCAGGCCUGCCCCGGCCGCCGCUGACCUGUCCUUGGAAGCGUGGCGGAGACUGGUGCGCUCCCAGCCUCCUCGCGCCACCGUCCACUUUCAGCUUCAGAGCGGAGGAUUCCGCCGACCUGUACCUGCACUCGGAAGCCCACUUGCAUUUUUAACUGCCAUGCGGAACCAGAACCAGAUCCAGCACUGGGAGAACACGGACGACGCCUCCUAGGAAAGCCUGAACCUUUAUGAUAGUUUCUCCAAAGUUUGGGCUACAAGGGAAGAGAAUCCCUAAACUCAAACUAGUGUACCCAGACCCACAGCCCGUGUUCCCGAAGUUGCUAAGUGCCCGAGCGCAGCGCGUUAAGUAGAGAAGUCUUGGUAGUAAGCGAACCCGACCCGGCUCUCGGGGCGCUACUGAUGGAAAGCAACACACGCACAUCUUUGCGGGAAGAAUCUAGAGUCACCCUGGGAUAGAUCCAUCUCCUUCUGCCACUGAAUUUCACAGUUGAAAAAGAUUAGGGCAUGGGGGCGAAUUAAUGAUAUCCCCCACUCAUUCUAACCAUUCUCAUUAUUAGGAACAAAAAAAAAAAAAAAAAAAAAGGCUUGUCAAUUAUGAAGCUAUGUCCCCGAUAUUACAUGAAGACCAUGCAAACUACUUGAAAUUUGAAUCCGGACAUGAUCGUAAGGAAACUCUUUCAUAAAGCACUUUUGUGGCCCAGUUCCUGCACACACACAAAAGUGUUAGGUCUUUAAAACUUUUAUAAGUAUGUAAGUGAGACUCCCUCCUACUAUCUAGGAACACACAAUAGAGAUGAGACACUGACCCAAUCCUAAAGAGGCCAGAACUGAAGUGCUACAUUGUGGGAGUUGGGGGAUGCUUCUUUUUUCCAGCUCUUUUUUCCUAGAAUCCUCAUUACAGCUAACGCUGGUAAUAAAGGUAGGAAACAAUAGAACUCAUAAAACUUAGAAAUGGCAAUAAAUCUUGGCUCCUGUCUCUAGCCCAGUUCCUUCUUACAUGAGAUUCAAAGUUUUUCAGUAUGCAAUGCUGAACAUUUACACUAUGCUUGCAAUACAGAAAAAAAAUGCUCUAGAACUCAUUAAUACGGCCCUGCGCACUCUAUGCCAGGCGUCGCUGGUGGACAAAGCGCGCAGGGGUCCUCCUCUACAUCUGCCUGCGCCUGUAAUCCAGGCAGCUUACGUGUGUUAAAUUUGGGUCUCUCUCUCUCUGUCUCUCAUACAAAGAAGUUCCAUCAUUUGAGGCCGUUAGGAAAAGCUGAUGUUGUGCAGUGCCAAACUACCACAGGCUUCCUCCUUCAAAUGAAUCCCUGGAAAGCAGAGAGGCAGCUCGCUACGUGACCAUCAUGCUUUUUGCCUCACUGAGCUGUUGUCAAGAGAGGGCGGGGAUGGCGGGCAGCUCACGCCGUGCCCUCCACAGCAAUAAAAACCGGAGCCAGAGAAGAAAUCCAAGACAGCGCUGUCUGUUUUGCAAGCCUCUGGCCCCUCUCAGCAAACUCUGCCCGGCGCAGCUGGUGACUUUGCGGUGUGAACGCAGCCGGUAGUGCUCGGGAUAAUGGGACGGAGCUGGCGGCGUCGCCCUCCCGUGGGCCCCUCUUGUCACACAGAUGCGCAGCUCUCCACAAGGAAAAUGUGGCCCAGCUCCCCUCGCCUAGCCCUACUCUUAGGAACGCAUGCCUGGGGCCUUUGCAAGCCUCUAAAAAGUCCUUAGGGGGAAAAUAAUGGGCGGAACCUCCGGAUUCAUUUUGGGGAAGAGGAACCAGGCUCUUGCCCCACUACUGAGGCAAGGCCAACAGCACCCUGCCCUGCUGCUCCACCGCCUCCCCGUGGGCCAAGUCUCUGCCAAGUGUCGCUGCCCACCUGAAGGUGACACCUGUCCAUUUUAGUCAGCAUCACAUGCGCCUUCCCUUUCUCCCCUUUGGGGGCUGUCCGUUUUCUCCUCCUGUCCUAAAGAGCCAGCUUGGACCUGAAGGGGCCGGGUAGCAGCUGUUUGUGCCUCUCUCCCGUGCAGACUCGAUGGUCUCCGCAGCCACUUCCUCCUUUGACACGCGAGGCUUUCAGGCGUGCAGAAGGGGACCGCCCCGCCGGGUGAGGCAGGUAUUCGGCUCUCCAAGGAGACUUGUGGACAUCACUGAGUUUACCUAUUCUUUGGACUUUGUUCCAUCUGCUCUAGCAAACCUGAGGCCUGAGCGGCCUGCCUGCUGGGUUCAAACCCAGUGGCUCACCGGCUGCAAACUCUCCCACUCGGGAGACCCUAGGAACGAUGAGGAGCGGGGUAGAAAUGACUAGGGGAGCCAAAUCUCAGGUACCUAGACCUUCCAGCUCACCCCUCAGGACCAGGAAAGCCAGUCACCCACAUAUGCCCAAAAGAAGGUUAUGUCUCAACUGAGAACAGCAAAUAGGUGAUGGGCCACUUUAGAACACACGCUAAAGGCUGGUAGCCACUGAGCGAACCCCAAAUUCUAGGCACCUGAGGUGUUUGCCUUACACAAAUGGCUUCACAGGUAGCAAGCUAUUAAUCUACAACAGUGAACAACACUAAAACUUAAAUUUUACAUGGAAGUCUCUCAAGUAGACAAAGAUAUUAUUGGGUGGGGGUUUCCCCCCACUGACAAAAAAUAACUUAUCCCUUGGCUGUUAGAUUGAGGGAACUAUAAAACAAAUAUUUUAAUUCGAUCACUGACAAAGUCAUAAAAUUAAAUGACUGUUUGUAGAGGAAAAUAUGUUUUCAUUAUCUUAAUUAAAGCAAGAUAAGCCUCUCUCAAUGUGCAUGCAUUUUGGAGCCACUGAAUGGACUGGUGAUGAGACGAAGCAACCUUUAAUUGGGACCAUGCUUCUCCAGUACAUUUGCUUGUAUUCCAUGGCGUAAACCUGGCCUAUGCGUGGCUCCAACCUUCAGUGAAAAAGCAUUUGCGUAGCACCACCCAAGGGCUCCCUUGCUUUGGCUGGAGCCUCAUAAAAGACCCCAGGUUUUGCAAAGCAUUUUGAACACCAGCAUCUUUUAACAUGUGGAACUUUUGGGUUUGGUUUAGCUCUGUGAAUGUGUUUAAAACUUGCUACAUUAUUCCACGCUGAAAGUUGGAACCUUUAUAAUUAAGAGUUAUCAUGGAGUGCCUUUUAAAAUCUGUCAUAUUUUCUAUAAACAACUUUUCAGUGAGAAACGUAUAUAGUGUACUCAAGGUAGGCAUUAGCUGCUGGCAAGGUUUAUGAUAAAAUAGUGACAUUACAGGACAAUUUUUUAGUAAAACAACACCCUUUAGAUAUUUUAGGUUCCAGCUUAUAUGUUAACUUGUAAAUAUAGGCUAAAAAUAUAGGCAUCAAGUGACUAUAAUUCAGUAUCAGACAAAUUGAACAUCUUUUUAUUUCCCAGAAGUGCCCACUCUUUCUCCUCCCUUUGGUGACCUCUUAGUCUGGAAUGCCCUGCAUCUGGAGCCCCCAGAACUCACAGCUUUUAAAGCACCUAUUAGUGAUACUUUCCUUCCUUGGCAGUGCUUCCACUGUGUUUUCUGCAUGUAAUAAAGGAUGGCACUGUUUUUUGUAUAGGUCUUUCCUAAUAGCUGAGCACUCUGGGAGUGUAGGGGCUCAACCUUAUGCCUCUUUGGACACACAAGCCUAGCCCAUGGGCUGGCAUAUAGGAGCUGCUCAAUAAAUGUUUGUUGAAUGAAUGAGUGGAUACAUGAAGAAAAUAUUUUCAUUGUCUUUAGCCCUUCUGACUUUCUUUUUUAAAUAGGGGUAUGUCAUAAAUAAAAUUUACCUCGAAAAUGUAUUUAAGUACACUUUUUUCUUCUCUACUAUCAAGUUUUUAAUGGGACAUCAUUUUAAAAUUCUGGUCAUUACAACGAACCACUUUUGACCUUGGUUGACUUUCCUCAGAAACAUAAUUUAAAGUAAAGACAAAAACAAUGAGAAAAGGCAAAGAGAUCAAAUUUUGGUUUUCUCUUUUUCAGUAGGAUAUGAUAUUUAUCGAAAUUUGGAAACAAAUUGUAGCAAGCACCUAUAACGUGUAGAUACUCACGUUUUUAUAUUAAAUAUGACAUUAUUUAUAAAA